AUUGAACGCUGGCGGCAUGCCUUACACAUGCAAGUCGAACGGUAACGGGCCUUCGGGUGCCGACGAGUGGCGAACGGGUGAGUAAUGCAUCGGAACGUACCGUUCAGGGGGGGAUAACGUAGCGCAAGUUACGCUAAUACCGCAUAUUCUGUGAGCAGGAAAGCAGGGGAUCGCAAGACCUUGCGCUGAUUGAGCGGCCGAUGUCAGAUGAGCUAGGUGGUGAGGUAAAGGCUCACCAAGGCGACGAUCUGUAGCGGGUCUGAGAGGAUGAUCAGCCACACUGGAACUGAGACACGGUCCAGACUCCUACGGGAGGCAGCAGUGGGGAAUUUUGGACAAUGGGGGCAACCCUGAUCCAGCCAUGCCGCGUGAGUGAAGAAGGCCUUCGGGUUGUAAAGCUCUUUCGGCCGGGAAGAAAUCGUAUGGGCUAAUACCCUGUGCGGAUGACGGUACCGGCAUAAGAAGCACCGGCUAACUACGUGCCAGCAGCCGCCGUAAGAC
rnacentral:rRNA from 1 species